rnacentral:rRNA from 1 species
AUUGAACGCUGGCGGCAGGCCUAACACAUGCAAGUCGAACGAGUGGCGGACGGGAGAGUAAUGCUUGGGAAUCUGGAUUAUGGAGGGGGAUAACGACGGGAAACUGUCGCUAAUACCGCGUACCAUAGGAUGAGCCAAAGUGGGAUUAGGUAGUUGGUGGGGUAAUUGCCUACCAAGCCGACGAUCUCUAGCUGGUCUGAGAGGAUGACCCGCCACACCGGGACUGUGACACGGCCCUUACUCCUACUUGAGGCAGCAGUGGGGAAUAUUGCGCAAUGUGGGCAACCCUGACGCCGCCAUGCCGCGUGAAUUAAGAAGGCCUUCGGGUUUUAAAGUUCUUUCGGUAUUGAGGCGUUAAAUACAGAAGAAGCACCGGCUAACUCCGUGCCAGCAGCCGCGGUAAUUC